rnacentral:misc_RNA from 1 species
GAUUAAGAACGUAGUGAAAUGCGAUAAUUAAUGUGAAUUGCAGAAUUCAGUGAAUCAUCGAGUCUUUGAACGCACAUUGCGCCCCCUGGUAUUCCGGGGGGCAUGCCUGUCCGAGCGUCAUUGCUGCCCUCAAGCACGGCUUGUGUGUUGGGCUUCCGUCCCUGGCAACGGGGACGGGCCCAAAAGGCAGUGGCGGCACCAUGUCUGGUCCUCGAGCGUAUGGGGCUUUGUCACCCGCUCCCGUAGGUCCAGCUGGCAGCUAGCCUCGCAACCAAUCUUUUUAACCAGGUUGACCUCGGAUCAGGUAGGGAUACCCGCUGAACUUAAGCAUAUCAAUAAGCGGAGGA